UGGGGAAUCUUGGACAAUGGGCGAAAGCCUGAUCCAGCGACGCCGCGUGGGGGAUGAAGCCCUUCGGGGUGUAAACCCCUGUUGCGAGGGAGGAAUAAGGCCUGGAGGAAAUGCCAGGCCGAUGACUGUACCUCGCGAGGAAGCCCCGGCUAACUACGUGCCAGCAGCCGCGGUAAUACGUAGGGGGCGAGCGUUACCCGGAUUCACUGGGCGUAAAGCGGGUGUAGGCGGCUCGGUAAGUCGGGUGUGAAAUCCCACAGCUCAACUGUGGAAUUGCGCCCGAAACUGCUGAGCUUGGGGCCGGUAGAGGGAGACGGAACUGCCGGUGUAGGGGUGAAAUCCGUAGAUAUCGGCAGGAACGCCGGUGGGGAAGCCGGUCCCCUGGGCCGCGCCCGACGCUGAGACCCGAAAGCUAGGGGAGCAAACC
rnacentral:rRNA from 1 species